CUUGUGGGCACCGUGUCGCUGGACACUUUGGGAGUUCGCCCCUGCGCAGGUUAAAUUUGGCCAAUAAAGUAACAUCCUUGAUACCCUGAAAGUCUCCGACACUUGUUCUCGCGUUUGCUGGAUGCUACAUUUGGAGGCCCCAGCGAGAUCGCCCUUCUCGGUGGAGAUUCGGUUCGCAGACUGGGCGGGCAGCUCGAGCUGAUCCUUACAGGCACUGCAGCAGAUUCGACGAGAGGUGCGAACCCUCCGACAGGCAAUCAAGGCAGAGAAGACUGAAGGUGCCGAACUACCAGAAGCACCAGAACCUGGACAGUGGGUGUGGACCCUGAACCAUAGGAGGGGCAACUUAGAGCCUCGGUGGCCUGGACCCUUUCAGGUAUUGCUAAGUACCCCCUCCGCAGUUCGGGUGGCUGAGAAACCCUACCGGAUCCAUCUCUCCCACACCAAGCCAGCCCAACCUCCCGAAGACAGCCAGCAAAAAUGGCGGGUCAAACAAAAGCCAGGAGAACCCUUGAAACUCACCUUCUCCUCUGCCUAGGGCUGGUAGUGUCCUGGAGUUUAGCCAGCUCCGGCUCGGGACGAGACAAACAAGACUGGGUUUUAAUUAGAACUGCUGAUGGUACAGUGAUUGCCACCAAUGGGACAUGGGAAAAUGCUCCAGUCUCCCUAAAAACAGACUUUUCUAAGUUCUUUGCCGACCAUUUCUGUGACUCUGAUGCAGCCUGGCGGAACCAUGCCUCUGAGGACGGGCCUCUCGGGGAUAACCUCCCUUCGUCCUACACACUAGGGUACGGAGCCAGGUGUGACUCAGCCCUAAAGAAUAGAAACCUCUGGUUUAGCCCCCAUUAUGGAUGCCCUGAGCCGCCAAGAGGACGACGCCGAACUUGUGGGUCCCUGGAUGACUAUUAUUGUCGGGUAACAUAUCUCGAGCGUCAAGUGGACUCCCUAGCAGAAGCAGCUCUCCAAAACAGACGAGGACUAGAUCUCGUAUUCCUCAAGCAGGGAGGACUUGGUGCUGCCUUGGGAGAAGAAUGCCGUUUUGAUGCCAGUCAUUCAGGAGUAAUAAGGGAGAAUAUGGAGACUUUAACCAAAAGACUCAAAGAGAGAGACGGAGAAGAAGAAUACUCCAACUGGUAUGCCUCUAUAUUUAGUACUUCCCCAUGGCUAACCACCCUUUUAUCUGCACUUGCAGGACCCCUUCCUUUGCUUCUGUUAUUAGUUACUAUGGGGCCUUGCAUUCUAAAUAAAGUCAUAGCCUUCAUUAAAGAAAGAAUAGAAGUAGUAAAGCUGAUGGUCCUACCUCAGCCCUAUACCAUUAUUCCUAACGAUGAAGAGUCAAGGGUUUGACAAACCCCAAGAGAAAACGGGGGAACGUAAGGAGUGGGGAAACACUUGGACCGUGAGGAAAUAGGAACCUCGCUAGCUAGAGCCAGGAGGUUACUAGGUUAGUGAACAGACACCCUGCCUUCCCGCCUUGUGCAAGAAUGCUUGGUUUGAAAUUCCCGCGCGUGCGGUCUUUGUAAGCAAACUGCUAACUGCCACGUCUGCUUGUGUAAAACGCUUGCUUGCCCGCCCCUGUAUAAGGACGUAGUUGUAAGCGCUCGGCGCGGCUCUCGUUUGCAGCCCCUUGUGGGCACUGAGUCGCUGGACACUGUGAGAGUUCGCCCCUGCGCAGGUUAAACUUGGCCAAUAAAGUAACAUCUUUGAUACCCUGAAAGUCUCCGAUAUUUGUU